rnacentral:rRNA from 1 species
UACGUAGGGGGCUAGCGUUGUCCGGAAUCAUUGGGCGUAAAGCGCGCGUAGGCGGCCCGGUAAGUCCGCUGUGAAAGUCAAAGGCUCAACCUUUGAAUGUCAGCGGAUACUGCCGGGCUAGAGUCCGGAAGAGGCGAGUGGAACUCCUGGUGUAGCGGUGGAAUGCGCAGAUAUCAGGAGGAACACCGAUGGCGAAGGCAGAUCUCUGGGCCGUAACUGACGCUGAGGAGCGAAAGCAUGGGGAGCGAACAGG